rnacentral:rRNA from 1 species
GACGAGCGCUGGCGGCGUGCCUAAUACAUGCAAGUAGAACGCUGAAGGAGGAGCUUGCUUCUCUGGAUGAGUUGCGAACGGGUGAGUAACGCGUAGGUAACCUGCCUGGUAGCGGGGGAUAACUAUUGGAAACGAUAGCUAAUACCGCAUAAGAGUAGAUGUCGCAUGACAUUUGCUUAAAAGGUGCAAUUGCAUCACUACCAGAUGGACCUGCGUUGUAUUAGCUAGUUGGUGAGGUAACGGCUCACCAAGGCAACGAUACAUAGCCGACCUGAGAGGGUGAUCGGCCACACUGGGACUGAGACACGGCCCAGACUCCUACGGGAGGCAGCAGUAGGGAAUCUUCGGCAAUGGACGGAAGUCUGACCGAGCAACGCCGCGUGAGUGAAGAAGGUUUUCGGAUCGUAAAGCUCUGUUGUAAGAGAAGAACGAGUGUGAGAGUGGAAAGUUCACACUGUGACGGUAUCUUACCAGAAAGGGACGGCUAACUACGUG